rnacentral:lncRNA from 1 species
CCCAACUACAAAGUCCCUGGCCACAGCAAUUGAUGGGAGGAAGAUGGUGGCAAUGAGCACAAGUAUGGUGAGUGGUGAAAGAGCCAUGAACUCAACUACUCUUUUAUAUUUGAGUGUUUUGAUAAUAAAUCUUGAUGUUACUUAUGUCCUGUGGAAGUGUGUAGGUUAGAAGUGAUAUAUAUAGAGCUCGGAAGAAGAAGAUAGUUCCAAUAUUGCAAUUCUAUGUUGGAGACUGCAGACACAGACGGCUCAGGACGGCAUGCCGAAAACAGAAUAAACUUGAUCAGCAAAGUGUCGUGUGUGUUGAAGGAGAAUGGCACGAGAGAGUGAGUAAAAAAUAUCCACACAAAAUGUGCUUAGAAUCACUUUACAUAUUUGUUUCAUAUUCAAUGUUACACUCCAU